rnacentral:rRNA from 1 species
ACGGUUAAGUUAGAAAGGGCGCACGGUGGAUGCCUUGGCACUAGGAGCCGAUGAAGGACGGGACGAACACCGAUAUGCUUCGGGGAGCUGUAAGCAAGCUUUGAUCCGGAGAUUUCCGAAUGGGGAAACCCACCACUCGUAAUGGAGUGGUAUCCAUAUCUGAAUACAUAGGAUAUGAGAAGGCAGACCCGGGGAACUGAAACAUCUAAGUACCCGGAGGAAGAGAAAGCAAAUGCGAUUCCCUGAGUAGCGGCGAGCGAAACGGGACCAGCCCAAACCAAGAGGCUUGCCUCUUGGGGUUGUAGGACACUCUGUACGGAGUUACAAAGGAACGAGGUAGAUGAAGAGGUCUGGAAAGGCCCGCCAUAGGAGGUAACAGCCCUGUAGUCAAAACUUCGUUCUCUCCUGAGUGGAUCCUGAGUACGGCGGAACACGUGAAAUUCCGUCGGAAUCCGGGAGGACCAUCUCCCAAGGCUAAAUACUCCCUAGUGACCGAUAGUGAACCAGUACCGUGAGGGAAAGGUGAAAAGCACCCCGGAAGGGGAGUGAAAGAGAUCCUGAAACCGUGUGCCUACAAGUAGUCAGAGCCCGUUAACGGGUGAUGGCGUGCCUUUUGUAGAAUGAACCGGCGAGUUACGAUCCCGUGCAAGGUUAAGCAGAAGAUGCGGAGCCGCAGCGAAAGCGAGUCUGAAUAGGGCGAAUUGAGUACGUGGUCGUAGACCCGAAACCAGGUGAUCUACCCAUGUCCAGGGUGAAGUUCAGGUAACACUGAAUGGAGGCCCGAACCCACGCACGUUGAAAAGUGCGGGGAUGAGGUGUGGGUAGGGGUGAAAUGCCAAUCGAACCUGGAGAUAGCUGGUUCUCUCCGAAAUAGCUUUAGGGCUAGCCUCAAGGUAAGAGUCUCGGAGGUAGAGCACUGAUUGGACUAGGGGCCCCUACCGGGUUACCGAAUUCAGUCAAACUCCGAAUGCCGAUGACUUAUCCUUGGGAGUCAGACUGCGAGUGAUAAGAUCCGUAGUCGAAAGGGAAACAGCCCAGACCGCCAGCUAAGGUCCCAAAGUAUACGUUAAGUGGAAAAGGAUGUGGAGUUGCUUAGACAACCAGGAUGUUGGCUUAGAAGCAGCCACCAUUUAAAGAGUGCGUAAUAGCUCACUGGUCGAGUGACUCUGCGCCGAAAAUGUACCGGGGCUAAACGUAUCACCGAAGCUGCGGACUGUUCUUCGAACAGUGGUAGGAGAGCGUUCUAAGGGCUGUGAAGCAAGACCGGAAGGACUUGUGGAGCGCUUAGAAGUGAGAAUGCCGGUAUGAGUAGCGAAAGAGGGGUGAGAAUCCCCUCCACCGAAUGCCUAAGGUUUCCUGAGGAAGGCUCGUCCGCUCAGGGUUAGUCGGGACCUAAGCCGAGGCCGAAAGGCGUAGGCGAUGGAUAACAGGUUGAUAUUCCUGUACCACCUCCUCACCAUUUGAGCAAUGGGGGGACGCAGGAGGAUAGGGUAAGCGCGGUAUUGGAUAUCCGCGUCCAAGCAGUUAGGCUGGGAAAUAGGCAAAUCCGUUUCCUGUGAAGGCUGAGCUGUGAUGGCGAGCGAAUUAUAGUAGCGAAGUUCCUGAUUCCACACUGCCAAGAAAAGCCUCUAGCGAGGUGAGAGGUGCCCGUACCGCAAACCGACACAGGUAGGCGAGGAGAGAAUCCUAAGGUGAUCGAGAGAACUCUCGUUAAGGAACUCGGCAAAAUGACCCCGUAACUUCGGGAGAAGGGGUGCUCUGUUAGGGUGCAAGCCCGAGAGAGCCGCAGUGAAUAGGCCCAGGCGACUGUUUAGCAAAAACACAGGUCUCUGCGAAGCCGUAAGGCGAAGUAUAGGGGCUGACGCCUGCCCGGUGCUGGAAGGUUAAGAGGAGCGCUUAGCGUAAGCGAAGGUGCGAAUUGAAGCCCCAGUAAACGGCGGCCGUAACUAUAACGGUCCUAAGGUAGCGAAAUUCCUUGUCGGGUAAGUUCCGACCCGCACGAAAGGCGCAACGAUCUGGGCACUGUCUCAACGAGAGACUCGGUGAAAUUAUAGUACCUGUGAAGAUGCAGGUUACCCGCGACAGGACGGAAAGACCCCGUGGAGCUUUACUGCAGCCUGAUAUUGAAUGUUGGUACAGCUUGUACAGGAUAGGUAGGAGCCUUGGAAACCGGAGCGCCAGCUUCGGUGGAGGCAUCGGUGGGAUACUACCCUGGCUGUAUUGACCUUCUAACCCGCCGCCCUUAUCGGGCGGGGAGACAGUGUCAGGUGGGCAGUUUGACUGGGGCGGUCGCCUCCUAAAAGGUAACGGAGGCGCCCAAAGGUUCCCUCAGAAUGGUUGGAAAUCAUUCGCAGAGUGUAAAGGCACAAGGGAGCUUGACUGCGAGACCUACAAGUCGAGCAGGGACGAAAGUCGGGCUUAGUGAUCCGGUGGUUCCGCAUGGAAGGGCCAUCGCUCAACGGAUAAAAGCUACCCCGGGGAUAACAGGCUUAUCUCCCCCAAGAGUCCACAUCGACGGGGAGGUUUGGCACCUCGAUGUCGGCUCAUCGCAUCCUGGGGCUGUAGUCGGUCCCAAGGGUUGGGCUGUUCGCCCAUUAAAGCGGUACGCGAGCUGGGUUCAGAACGUCGUGAGACAGUUCGGUCCCUAUCCGUCGCGGGCGCAGGAAAUUUGAGAGGAGCUGUCCUUAGUACGAGAGGACCGGGAUGGACGCACCGCUGGUGUACCAGUUGUUCUGCCAAGGGCAUCGCUGGGUAGCUAUGUGCGGACGGGAUAAGUGCUGAAAGCAUCUAAGCAUGAAGCCCCCCUCAAGAUGAGAUUUCCCAUUCCGCAAGGAAGUAAGAUCCCUGAAAGAUGAUCAGGUUGAUAGGUCUGAGGUGGAAGUGUGGCGACACAUGGAGCUGACAGAUACUAAUCGAUCGAGGACUUAACCAA